GCCAGGCAUGGUGGCAGUUGCCUAUAAUCCCAGCAACUCAGGAGGCUGAGGCAGGAGGUUUGCAAGUUGGAGGCCAGCAUGGGCAAUUUAAUGAGACCCUCAGCAACUUAGCAAAACCUUGCCUCAA
rnacentral:sRNA from 1 species